UACGUAGGGGGCAAGCGUUGUCCGGAUUUAUUGGGCGUAAAGAGCGUGUAGGCGGCCAUACAGGUCAGCUGUGAAAAACUCGAGGCUCAACCUCGAGACGUCGGUUGAAACCGUAUGGCUAGAGUCCGGAAGAGGAGAGUGGAAUUCCCGGUGUAGCGGUGAAAUGCGCAGAUAUCGGGAAGAACACCCGUGGCGAAGGCGGCUCUCUGGGGACGGUACUGACGCUGAGACGCGAAAGCGUGGGGAGCGAACAGG
rnacentral:rRNA from 1 species